UGCCGGAUGGACGAUGGGUAAGUCGCCGUGACUCUGAAUCACGGAGAGGUUGGUUCGAUCCCAACUCCGGCAG
rnacentral:tRNA from 2 species